UCUUGGUGCCUGGAUGCAAGUCAGAUAAACCCUUUUCAAGCUAGCUAAGCUGCAGUCCUGACACUUCUACACUCUUUUGCAGCCAACUCUUCUGCUACAAGAAAACUGCGAAGAAGCUUCUUCAAAGAUUUGCUGAAUGUACCAGCUUCUCCUGUCUUCCUUUCCCAGAUAAUAUURGAGGUGUUUGAUCCUGCGGUUACCAUCACUUGAAACAGAACUUCUGCUUUCAAGAAGAUUUUAGAUAUACCCUUUUCUGACGACUGUACAAUCGAAGCAAGAAYACGGACGGGGACCACCAGUCAAAAAGCCAUUUGUGGGACUUCAGAACAUUUGAAAGUAAAGAAGCAGAAGCUGUGUCAGAUCAAGGGUCCUUAAGCCUAGUGUUGAAUGAAGUACCAUUUCGAGCUAAGGGAGGCACUAUUUGACAGAACAAUAGAUUCCUCUCCACGCCUGUCAAGUUCAAGAGUAUCUGGAAGUAGUGCAAAACUGGAAUCACCCCACAGCUGUUCUGGGAUCUGCUCUGCAUGGCCAKAGAUGCCACCGACAGCUUUUAGAUAGGAGGAAGCUGAGGCUAAAGAGCAGAGAAUAUUUCUCGCCCUACAUUGUUCUUGAAGACUAUUUCUGGCACACAGGAAGGUCUCACAAAAUCACCAACAAACUUAUUUUAGCUAAUUCCUUACAUGACUUAAGUACUCCAGAGGUGUCAAGCCUCGGAGAACUGAUGGCAAGUUUCAGUCCCUGGUUAGACAUAGAAAUAAAUGCAUGACACUCUAGGGGUUUYCUGGAAGUGCUUUUCUUAUAAACAGAGGGCAAAACAGCCUUCAAAUGAUACACUAGAAAAUUAACGGGASUGGACCCAAAUAUUGUACUCUGAAAUGAACACUUUGAUAAUCAUAACAAUGUGGUUUGAAAAGCAUCACUUUAAAAGGUCAGCUAUACCACCCUCUGACUGCACAUUGAAAGCAUAGCGGAUAUAUUGAGUCAUACAUAUUGUUCAUUGUCAUUUGCAUUUGGUGAAAUCCCUGCAUUUUACCCAAUUUAGUAAGCAAGCACCGCCUUGGACUCCCUUGGCAAUGCCUUUAAAUGCAGUUACUGUUUGUUGGGCUAAAACAACAUCUUGUCCCAUUCUGCACCAGUAAAUCACUCUUCGGUCUUUUGAUCAAUGUUUGCCUUUUCAAGCCUGUGAGUCAUUUUGCAUUAAUGGAAAGAGAGGGAGUGACACACGAGAGCAAUGUGGGUAUUUUGAGCUGCACCUCUGGGAUACUUUUGUGCAUGUUGUUCUGAACAAAACGACCAUCUGUAUCAGUGGCCGCAGUGCAUCAAGAGAUCCGACUUCCUAUCUUUGUGGACAAAGACUGGCUUAAUUCUACAAACACCACAUAGCGUCGCCAGGCAAUGUCAUGAAAAGGUCUUACUGAAGUCAAGCACUCUUUUUGCAACCCAGCAUUUUUUUUUUAAGUUGUCCUCAAGAUCUGACCUCAUGGCCUUUUCCAUAUUUUUUUGCACAUCACCUAUCACUCUUUUGGGACAGUUCAACUUCCCAAUAGUCAUGUCAGUGAUGUUUCCAACCAGAAUACGGCGGAAGCUGUCCUCACCCUUCCGGGGGCUACACCUGAAGAGUAAGCAAAUUUUGUGGGUGUUUAAGCCUUUUUUAAUUUUCUAUGAGCAAUAUAAAAAUGACUCAUUCCUGCUUUGGCUGAAAUGCAUAAUUGGUAAAACACUGGUGGGGAGCAAUCAUAUUUCYAAAUUUGUAAACAUAAACACUGCAUAAUGUACCAACUCUUUGGUCCUGUUACCCAYGUGUGUUUUUUGUGGUAAGGACAGGGCAGGGGCUCAGCCCCUGCUGCUGGACAGGUUUGCUCGCUACAGCCAAGAGCAACUGAGGGGGGAACCAAGAACUGUCCAGCAACAAGGAGACUAGCAAGAGCUGAUGGAAAGGAGCACAGGCACCUUCCCAUCAUASCACUGAU